rfam:Gossypium hirsutum cultivar TM-1 unplaced genomic scaffold scaffold1263.1, whole genome shotgun sequence
UAUUAAAAAUUUUGCCCAUUUCUACUUUUAAAAACUAGCGUGGUUAGUAAAAUAAUCCAAAAGUCACAAGUGGCGUUCCAUGUGUACCUUAUUUUAAUAUACAAGAACCAGUUUUUAACAGUAAAAAUGGAUGGAAUUUUAAACA